rnacentral:rRNA from 1 species
GAUGAACGCUAGCGGGAGGCCUAACACAUGCAAGCCGAGCGGUAUUAUUUCUUCGGAAAUGAGAGGGCGGCGUACGGGUGCGGAACACGUGUGCAACCUGCCUUUAUCUGGGGGAUAGCCUUUCGAAAGGAAGAUUAAUACUCCAUAAUAUAUUGAACGGCAUCGUUUAAUAUUGAAAGCUCCGGCGGAUAGAGAUGGGCACGCGCAAGAUUAGCUAGUUGGUGAGGUAACGGCUCACCAAGGCGAUGAUCUUCAGGGGGCCUGAGAGGGUGAUCCCCGACACUGGUACGUGGACACGGACCAUAUUCCUACGGGAGGCAGCAGUAAGGAAUAUUGGUCAAUGGGUGCAAGCUUGACCCAGCCAUCCCGCGUGAAGGACGACUGCCCUAUGGGUUGUAAACUUCUUUUGUAUAGGGAUAAACCUACUCUCGUGAGGGUAGCUGAAGGUACUAUACGAAUAAGCACCGGCUAACUCCGUGCCAGCAGCCGCCGUAAAAC